AUUGCACGCUGGCGGCAGGCCUAACACAUGCAAGUCGAGCGGAGCGGCGGACGGGUGAGUAAUGCCUAGGCAUCUGCCUGGUAGUGGGGGAUAACGUCCGGAAACGGGCGCUAAUACCGCAUACUAUCAGAUGAGCCUAGGUCGGAUGAGGUAGUUGUUGGGGUAAAGGCCUACCAAGGCGACGAUCCGUAACUGGUCUGAGAGGAUGAUCAGGCGCACUGGAACUGGGACACGUGCCAGACUCCUACGGGAGGCGGCAGUGGGGAAUAUUGGACAAUGGGCGAAAGCCGGAGGCAGCCAUGCCGGGUGGGUGAAGAAGGUCUGCGGAUUGUAAAGCACUAUAAGUUGGGAGGCGUUACCAAAAGAAUAAGGACCGGCGAACUUCGUGCCAGCAGCCGCGGUAAUAC
rnacentral:rRNA from 1 species